UAGGGAAUCUUCGGCAAUGGACGAAAGUCUGACCGAGCAACGCCGCGUGAGUGAAGAAGGUUUUCGGAUCGUAAAACUCUGUUGUUAGAGAAGAACAAGGACGUUAGUAACUGAACGUCCCCUGACGGUAUCUAACUAGAAAGCCACGGCUAACUACGUGCCAGCAGCCGCGGUAAUACGUAGGUGGCAAGCGUUGUCCGGAUUUAUUGGGCAUAAAGCGAGCGCAGGCGGUUUCUUAAGUCUGAUGUGAAAGCCCCCGGCUCAACCGGGGAGGGUCAUUGGAAACUGGGAGACUUGAGUGCAGAAGAGGGGAGUGGAAUUCCAGGUGUAGCGGUGAAAUGCGUAGAUAUAUGGAGGAACACCAGUGGCGAAGGCGGCUCUCUGGUCUGUAACUGACGCUGAGGCUCGAAAGCGUGGGGAGCAAACAGG
rnacentral:rRNA from 1 species